rnacentral:sRNA from 1 species
CCGGAAUCUGGUCCUCGCGCGACUUCUUCCCCGUGUCCUGGCUUCGGGGUGGCAGGCGUGACCCAUCCCUGCCCCCACACCGACCUCGCCCACGCCCUGG